AUUGAACGCUGGCGGCAGGCCUAACACAUGCAAGUCGAGCGGAUGAAGGGAGCUUGCUCCUGGAUUCAGCGGCGGACGGGUGAGUAAUGCCUAGGAAUCUGCCUGUUAGUGGGGGAGAACGUCCGGAAACGGGCGCUAAUACCGCAUACGUCCUUAGGGAGAAAGUGUGGGAUCUUCGGACCUCACGCUAUCAGAUGAGCCUAGGUCGGAUUAGCUAGUUGGUGGGGUAAAGGCCUACCAAGGCGACGAUCCGUAACUGGUCUGAGAGGAUGAUCAGUCACACUGGAACUGAGACACGGUCCAGACUCCUACGGGAGGCAGCAGUGGGGAAUAUUGGACAAUGGGCGAAAGCCUGAUCCAGCCAUGCCGCGUGUGUGAAGAAGGUCUUCGGAUUGUAAAGCACUUUAAGUUGGGAGGAAGGGCAGUAAGUUAAUACCUUGCUGUUUUGACGUUACCAACAGAAUAAGCACCGGCUAACUUCGUG
rnacentral:rRNA from 1 species